GACGAACGCUGGCGGCGUGCUUAACACAUGCAAGUCGAACGGAAAGGCCCUGCUUUUGUGGGGUGCUCGAGUGGCGAACGGGUGAGUAACACGUGAGUAACCUGCCCUUGACUUUGGGAUAACUUCAGGAAACUGGGGCUAAUACCGGAUAGGAGCUCCUUCUGCAUGGUGGGGGUUGGAGAGUUUCGGCGGUUGGGGAUGGACUCGCGGCUUAUCGGCUGGUUGGGGGGGUAGGGGCUUACCAAGGCUUUGACGGGUAGCCGGCCUGGGAGGGUGACCGGCCACAUUGGGACUGAGAUAGGGCCCAGACCCCUACGGGAGGCAGAAGUGGGGAAUAUUGAAAAAUGGGCGGAAGCCUGAUGCAGCAACGCCGCGUGCGGGAUGACGGCCUUCGGGUUGUAACCCGCUUUCGCAUGUGCCGAAGCGUGAGUGACGGUAACGGGUAAAGAAGCACCGGCUAACUACGUG
rnacentral:rRNA from 1 species